rnacentral:rRNA from 1 species
UGCCAGCAGCCGCGGUAACACGAACUGUGCAAACGUUAUUCGGAAUCACUGGGCUUAAAGAGUUCGUAGGCGGCAUGGUAAGUCAGGUGUGAAAUCCCACAGCUCAACUGUGGAACUGCGCUUGAUACUGCUAAGCUAGAGGAGGUCAGAGGUGAGCGGAACUCACGGUGGAGCGGUGAAAUGCGUUGAUAUCGUGAGGAACACCGGUGGCGAAAGCGGCUCACUGGGGCCUUUCUGACGCUGAGGAACGAAAGCUAGGGUAGCGAACGGGAUUAGAUA